rnacentral:lncRNA from 1 species
UUCAUCCUCCUUCACAGUGACUUCCCAACCCCCUAGGCUUUGGAUGAAGAUACGUUAGGUUGACUGUAUGAGUUGUUUCACAACUGCUUCCCUUUUCAAAUCUUUUUUUUUUUUUUUUUUUUUUUUAAAGGUAGAAAGAUCAGGUGAAGCUGAAAUCUGUGGAAGUGUCAAAAAAGAAUGAAUGUGACAGAGGUGAGAUUGAGAUGCAGUUAGAUAUUCUUCUUGGAGAACCUAUAUGCAAGCAGUUACUUCAGUCAAAUAAUCUGUUCAGAGAUGUGUAUAAAUCAGAGUGUGGAAGCAGAUCAUGAAUAGCAAAGAUCCUUCACAUAAAAGGAGCCCAUCGUUUCUUCCAUGCAAAUGCUAUGGGGAUUGCCUCACCCAGGGCUGGAGAGCAGCCAGGAUGCAGAGCGUGACAGCUACUCCGCAGUCCACAGCAAUGCUCUAUAUACCACGAAGAUCUGAG